UACGGGGGGGGCAAGCGUUGUUCGGAAUUACUGGGCGUAAAGGGCUCGUAGGUGGCCAACUAAGUCAGACGUGAAAUCCCUCGGCUUAACCGGGGAACUGCGUCUGAUACUGGGUGGCUUGAGAUUGGGAGAGGGAUGCGGAAUUCCAGGUGUAGCGGUGAAAUGCGUAGAUAUCUGGAGGAACACCGGUGGCGAAGGCGGCAUCCUGGACCAACACUGACGCUGAGGCGCGAAAGCUAAGGGGAGCAAACGGGG
rnacentral:rRNA from 1 species